AAAAGUCAUACGUUGAUAAUAACAUUAAAUUCAGUUGCGGUGGUCGAGACCUACCUGCCCUCUCUAGGGUGGAAGUUUGGUGUUUUCUCGGAGUAUCUUUUACUCCAGAGGGCGCCAAAAUGUGCGACCUAAGACAAAAAUUGCAGGACAUCAUAGAGAAGCUUUCCAAAGCUUCCUUAAAACCGCAGCAACGACUGAUCGCAUUAAGAACAGUCGGUAUUACAAAACUGUUACACCAGCUGACGUUAGGGAACAAAACACUUGGCCUUCUUAAAAGCCUUGACACUAUAAUUAGAAAAGCCGUAAGAUCAUGGCUAAGGUUACCGACUAAUACGACCAACGCUUAUUUCUAUGCCAAAGACAGAGAUGGGGGCUUAUCCCUCCCAUCUCUAAGAUGGUUGGUACCUUCAAGAAGAAAGGGAAGGCUUAUGAACCUGGGAUGGCCAGACUCAAGUUUCCAUCAGCUUGAGGUUGAGAAUUGCGAGAAACUUUUGACUGACAACGGGAACAUUAUAGGUUUCGCUAAACAGAUAGAUGACAGAUGGGCUAAGCUCCUCCACAAUUCAGUGGAUGGGUGGGCGCUCUAAAAGUCAUCCAAAGUCCCCCAACAACACUGGUGGGUUACCGAUGGCACAAAAAUCCUAUCAGGCCGGGACUUCAUUAACUGCGCCAUGCAGAAGCCGGACCACGAGAGGUCGCCGAAAAGAUAGGUUUUGUAGAGCCGGAUGCAACGCUCUAGAGACUCUACAUCACAUAUUACAAACGUGCUAUAGAAGUCAUAGACAAAGAAUUGAGAGACACAAUGCAGUCACCAAAUACGUCAAAAGUGCUCUCGAGAAAAAACACUCUCGUGCCGAAUGGGAACCACUGUUCCAAACACCAGAAGGAACACGUAAACCUGAUCUUAUAGCGACGCAAGGAGAAUCUGCUAUUGUGAUUGACACACAAAUCGUUGGGAGCAACGUAGACAUGGAUUUAGCUCAUAAAUGCAAGAUAGAGCAUUAUAAGAGUUUGAACGCUCAGAUAAGAGAAGUACAACGCAUCUGAAGUGAUAUAUAGUACUGUUACCUUGAAUAACAGAGGAGUGUGGCACAUGGACUCUGCAAACUUUCUGCUGUCAGGCAAAGUUAUUAAGAAAGAUGAAUUAAAGAUUAUUUUCACAAGAGUUUUGAUCGGAGGACUCAACGAUUUCAGCGCUUGGACCAAAACAACGUCCACGAGACGCCAGGGGAUAGGGUAGAAUGAAACCUGGAAUACACCGUGCUGCCUGCGCGUAACAUCCCGUCAGGCAUAAUACUAGGAGUUAGGUUUAGUGGGUAUUGCCUUCGGGCCGAGUCCCACACUACCUGGUCAACCUGGCGACCGGUGUGCGUAAAUGCAUUCCCCUCCUAGUCAAAAAAAAAAAAUAGCCAAAUGCCUCGUCAUCUAACUAGUGACGCGCAUGAAUGGAUCAACGAGAUUUCCACUGUCCCUAUCUACUUUCUAGCGAAACCACUGUCAAGGAAACGGGCUUGGAAAAAUUAGCGGGGAAAGAAGACCCUGUUGAGCUUGCCUCUAGUCUGGCAUUGUAAGGAGACAUGAAAGGUGUAGCAUAAGUGGGAGAUAUCGAUAUAGUAAUAUCGUCGGUGAAAUACCACUACUUUCAUCGUUUCUUUACUCGAUUGGGCGGAAAGCGUGCAUCGAAAACUUGCGUUCCGACUGUCACGGUUUUCUAGAGCCAAGCGAAUAAGAGUGGCGUGAGGCAUUUCGCCGAUCGCCAAUAAUACUCUAGCGUAAUCCGAUUUGAGGAAACUGCUAGGUGGGGAGUUUGACUGGGGCGAAACAUCUGUCAAAUACUAACACAGGUGUCCUAAGGCCAGCUCAGCGAGGACAGAAACCUCGCGUAGAGCAAAAGGGCAAAUGCUGACUUGAUCCCGUUGUUCAGUUUGCACAGGGACUGCGAAAGCAUGGCCUAUCUAUCCUUUUGGCUUGAAGAGUUUUUAGCAAGAGGUGUCAGAAAAGUUACCACAGGGUUAACUGGCUUGUGGCAGCCAAGCGUUCAUAGCGACGUUGCUUUUUGAUCUUUCGAUGUCGGCUCUUCCUAUCAUUGCGAAGCAGAAUUCGCCAAGCGUUGGAUUGUUCACCCACAAAUAGGGAACGUGAGCUGGGUUUAGACCGUCGUGAGACAGAUUAGUUUUACCCUACUGAUGAAUCGUCGUUGCGAUAGUAAUCCUGCUCAGUACGAGAGGAACCGCACGUUCGGACAUUUGGUUCACGCACUCGGUCAAGCGGCCAGUGGUACGAAACUACCAUCCGUGGGAUUAUGCCUGAACGCCUCUAAGGCCGUAUCCUUUCUAGACAAAGUAAGCAACGAUAUCUCUAGGAGUCUCGUGAAUCGAAAGGCUCAAUACAAUGUGAUUUAUUAGGUAUUCGGCACACGCCGUUUAUCGCACGAGCCAUUUUUAGCCGAGUGAGGCGC
rnacentral:rRNA from 1 species